rnacentral:rRNA from 1 species
ACGAACGCUGGCGGCGUGCCUAAUACAUGCAAGUCGAGCGGAAUGAUGAAGAAGCUUGCUUCUUCUGAUUUUAGCGGCGGACGGGUGAGUAACACGUGGGCAACCUACCUUGUAGAUUGGGAUAACUCCGGGAAACCGGGGCUAAUACCGAAUAAUCCAUUUUGCUUCAUGGUGAGAUGUUGAAAGACGGUUUCGGCUGUCACUAUAAGAUGGGCCCGCGGCGCAUUAGCUAGUUGGUAGGGUAAUGGCCUACCAAGGCGACGAUGCGUAGCCGACCUGAGAGGGUGAUCGGCCACACUGGGACUGAGACACGGCCCAGACUCCUACGGGAGGCAGCAGUAGGGAAUCUUCCACAAUGGACGAAAGUCUGAUGGAGCAACGCCGCGUGAGUGAAGAAGGUUUUCGGAUCGUAAAACUCUGUUGUAAGGGAAGAACACGUACGAGAGUAACUGCUCGUACCUUGACGGUACCUUAUUAGAAAGCCACGGCUAACUACGUG